ensembl:Y_RNA Y_RNA Y RNA
GGCUGGUCUGAAGGUAGUAAGUUACCUCGAUCGUUCAGUCACAGGUCUAACUGCUUAUUCUACUCUUUCCUCUCUUCUCACUACUGCAUUUGACUAAUCUUAA